CUACUCCCGUGGCCUUGGGCCAGCCGCCGCGCAACCUCUGCUCCUCCCCGGCGUCGAACUCAGGCCGCCGCUCCGUCCCCCGUCCCCUCCGCCCUCUAGUCCUCCCGCAGCCUCCGCCUCCGCCGCCGCUCCACGGAUGGGAGUUAAUCGGGGGAGCAGGAAGUCCCCGUCCCCGCGUAUGGGCCCCCGCCACCCACCACAAUGGCUCGACCGCCCAGCGACGAGCUGCCCUCCGGGGCCUGACCAGUUCGGCUCUCGUGGCUGGUGGACGCGCCCUUGCUGUUGCCGACGCGCGACGCCGGCUCGCUGUGCCGCACUGGCCCUCCCAAGCGUCUUCUGUCAAUGAAGGACAUGAGAGAUCAAGGAGUUUCCAUUGGGACAUCAGGACAUGCUCCUCCAUCUCCUCCGCUGGACGACAUCCAAUAUCGCUAGGUAAAUUCCAGUUUUUGCAAAUUCCGUUUUUUGAUGUUUAAAACUGGAUGACACCCAACCCCUCUAUUGUUCUAUUUCUGCUUAAAUCUGAUUUGGUUGUUCAGUUCAUCCGCUUACGGACUGAUAAAAAAAAUGGAAAUGAAGAAGAAGAAAAGAAGAAUAGCAAUAUUAUCAUAUGCGAGGUUGUUAAUUCAUCAAAGGCGGCUCCUGAGUAUACAUACCGUGUUUAUCUCGCCUGCCUUCUUAGGAAAAAUCCUAUACUCAAGGUAUCAUUCGAAGGGGCGACAUACCCAAUUCUCGGAUUCCUCAAACAACAGAUGUAGUGUUGUCAGUCUCUGAAGAUUCGAAUCCGUCUGCUCCUAGGCAAAAACAGAGGGAUGAUUGUGAUAUACUAAAAGCCACAGUGUAUUGAGGCUUAGUGGAGUCAGUCACCAGCCUCUUCGUGUUUGAACAACAGCAUCAAGCGGCGCCAAAACAUGUCAGUUACUUUCAUCUUGGGCAUAGCCAACCUUAUUGGUGGACUGACUCUCAUUUUUCAGAAUAUUGCUGAUCUGAGAGAUAUCCGAGACAUGAACGAGGAAAAAAUGAGAAGGUCGUCCACUAUUGGCUCAAGCUCAGGAGGUGGUCGAAAGCCCGGCUCCACAUGGUUCUAGCACUACCGUCACACAUGGUGUUCGGGCCACUUCCACCAGUGCUCUGCGGGUUGUCGUUCCACAAGAGCAAUGACGGGGAGAACAAGAUGAUGAACGUCGCCGGUGCUUUGCUCGCCUGCAUCGCGCUGCUUGCGCUCGGGACAUGCAUGUCCACAGAAGAGCCAUGACAUACUUCAAGACUCUAAUUUACUACCUGACCAUCGCCGUGAGCUUGUCCGGGAUAUCGUACGUUGCCGGUGUGCUGAUCACGAGGCUUCUCAAACACUUUGGCACCAUCGAUCUAGGUGGUGCAUUGGCUCCUCAUACUUCUCUAGGCCUGUUGUUCUCUCAUUUAGGUCGUGCACAUACGUCUGCCUAGGCCUCAAUAAUCUAAUGGCUCAAGUUCCUCGGAGCACUGAUGGUAUAAAAAGAGAAGACAUGUGUGAGUUCAAGAGAAAGUGCAUGAAGAAACAUCUGCUGUUUUAUUGAAAUUCUGGUGUACAUACUAUCAUUUAUGUCAAAAUGUGUGAUCUUGGUCAGUUGAGUUCAUCUGUAUUGUGGAAUAUUACUAUCAGUUAUUUUAGAGCAGGAAAAAUAACAAGUCCAGUCUUCCCUUCCUUUUUUCUGAGGAAAAAGAUGCCAUUCUUUGGAAGAUU